rnacentral:rRNA from 1 species
ACGAACGCUGGCGGCGUGCUUAACCCAUGCCAGUCGAACGGAAAGGCCCUGCUUGCCGGGUACUCGAGUGGCGAACGGGUGAGUAACACGUGGGUGAUCUGCCCUGCACUUCGGGAUAAGCCUGGGAAACUGGGUCUAAUACCGGAUAGGAGCCAUUUUUAGUGUGAUGGUUGGAAAGUUUUUUCGGUGUAGGAUGAGCUCGCGGCCUAUCAGCUUGUUGGUGGGGUAAUGGCCUACCAAGGCGGCGACGGGUAGCCGGCCUGAGAGGGUGGACGGCCACAUUGGGACUGAGAUACGGCCCAGACUCCUACGGGAGGCAGCAGUGGGGAAUAUUGCACAAUGGGCGCAAGCCUGAUGCAGCGACGCCGCGUGGGGGAUGACGGCCUUCGGGUUGUAAACUCCUUUCGCUAGGGACGAAGCUUUUUGUGACGGUACCUAGAUAAGAAGCACCGGCUAACUACGUG